AUUGAACGCUGGCGGCAGGCCUAACACAUGCAAGUCGAGCGAGCGGCGGACGGGGGAGUAAUGUAUGUGGCCUGCCCGCUAGAGGGGGAUAACUACUGGAAACGGUGGCUAAUACCGCAUACUAGCGGAUAACCCAUAUGGGAUUAGCUAGUAGGUGGGGUAAAGGCUACCCUAGGCGACGAUCUCUAGCUGGUCUGAGAGGACGAUCAGCCACACUGGAACUGAGACACGGCCCAGACUCCUACGGAGGCAGCAGUGGGGAGUGUUGCACAAUGGGCGCAAGCCUGAUGCAGCCAUGCCGCGUGUAGGAAGAAGGCCUUAGGGUUGUAAAGUACUUUCAGCGGGGAGGCGUUACCCGCAGAAGAAGCACCGGCUAACUCCGUGCCAGCAGCCGCGGUAAUAC
rnacentral:rRNA from 1 species